AACGAACGCUGGCGGCAUGCCUAACACAUGCAAGUCGAACGAACCCUUCGGGUCCUUUGUCCCACGGGUUCGUCACGCGUGGGAACCGUCCCUCAUGUUCGGCCUACCUCUCCGACAGGGGUGCUAAUACCGGACAAUGUCUUCUACCCGAUGAUUUAUUGCCUUUGAAUGUGCCCGCGUGGGAUUAGCUUGUUGUUAGGGUAAAAGCAUACCACGGCGAGCAUCCAUAGCUGGUCUGGGAGGCAGCUCAGCGACACUUAGAGGCGGACGCGGCCGGGACUCCUACGCGAGGCAGCAGUGGGGAAUAUUGGAAAAUGGGCGAAGGCAUGAUCCAGCAAUGCCGGGUGAGUGAUGAAGGCCUUAGGGUUGUAAAGCUCUUUUAACCGGGAUGAUAAUGACGGUACCGGGAGAAAAAGCCCCGGCUAACUCCGUG
rnacentral:rRNA from 1 species